CCCUGCCCACCGCACACUGCGCUGCCCCAGACCCACUGUGCGUGUGACAGCGGCUGA
rnacentral:miRNA from 1 species